rnacentral:rRNA from 1 species
AUUGAACGCUGGCGGCAGGCCUAACACAUGCAAGUCGAACGAGUGGCGGACGGGUGAGUAAUGUAUGGGGAACUGCCUGAUGGCGGGGGAUAACUACUGGAAACGGUAGCUAAUACCGCAUACCAUCAGAUGGGCCCAGAUGGGAUUAGCUUGUUGGUAAGGUAACGGCUCACCUAGGCGACGAUCCCUAGCUGGUCUGAGAGGAUGACCAGCCACACUGGAACUGAGAGACGGUCCAGACUCCUACGGGAGGCAGCAGUGGUGAAUAUUGCACAAUGGGCGCAAGCCUGAUGCAGCCAUGCCGCGUGUAUGAAGAAGGCCUUCGGGUUGUAAAGUACUUUCAGUCGGGAGGCGUUACCGACAGAAGAAGCACCGGCUAACUCCGUGCCAGCAGCCGCGGUAAUUC